AAGCACCUGAUUAGUACGUGAUGUGUCGGUUUCAUUUUGACCUAACACCUAUAUAAAAGGGAGCUUGGCGUUCAAAUAUGAUUGACAUGCCCUAUAAGGGACUUCAUGAGUAUUUGACAGAGCACCCACCUGCACAAAGCAGGCCAAAUAACCCGACAACUACACACGGCUAUAUCGGAUGCUUC
rnacentral:other from 1 species